ensembl:lncRNA
GCUCCUUCCAUGGCAACAGCCGCCCUCCCUCCCGCGCUGCCUCUGCCGCCUUCCUCCCUGCUCCUUCUCCCUGCAGCCCACUCCGGUCCCCAGAGCCAGGCCUCCCGAGCGGGUUGGCACACCCUUUGGGCAGGUGGCCAGUCCGUCCAUCCGAGGAGGAGGAGCAAGUAGGCCUUCACUAACGCAAACACCAAGCCCCGCCAGGGCUGGACCCCCCGAAUGGCCAGGCUCUGUCCUUCCUGGGGGCACCGUAUUCAAGGACCUCUGAAAAGAGCUCUGAAAAGCUCUGGCUGGAGCUAGGUUUGAGGAAACAAAGGAGAGAAGGAAUAUUUUUUACUGUCACCCGGUGGCAGAGAGGCAGAGAAGCCAGCGAUUUAAACACGAGCGCAUCCUGACAUCUUCCAAUGGGCCCCAGCGCCCAAAGUGUGGACCCCACAAGUUCCUUACAGGACUCGAAGCCCCAGGUCACCAUGGGACCUAAUGCCACAGGUCCUGCAAGCCGUGCGCGCUGCUGCCCGCUCCCGCACUGCUCCUCCCUCCUGAGGCUCCUGCCACAUCAGCCAUCUUUCUGUCCCCUUAGCACUCCACGCAUUCCUGCCGGAGACCUUUGAACUUGCCGUUCUCUGCCUGGGAGGCUCGCUGCCAUUUACACCAGGCCGGGAACUCGGCAUUGAGUCUCCACUCAAAUGCCAGCUCCCCAGAGAGGCAGCCCUCCUCCCGCUGUCACUAUCAGGCCCCCUUUCCUUGCCUUCACAACAGGUGUCGCUAUUUGCAACCACUCUGUUCUGCUGAUUUGUCUGUGAGUUCCUGCGCGCCCUCGUCCUGUGAGGGCCUCGUCUGGCUGGGAGCCUGCGUGCUGGCACCGAGAAGGGACUUGCCCCAGAUCAUGCGGGGGCAGGUGGUGAAGCCAGGAUGGGAGCCUCGUGUGUCGGCUCAGAGCCUUUCCCACCCGACAAGUCCCACCUCCUGCUGCUGGAAGAGGAUGGGGACCAGCCUGGGGACAGCUCCCAUCUGUAGUGGCUCCUCUCUGAGCUGCUCUCAGGGAACCAGAGGCAAGGACUGGAGCUGCAGUGGGUGGAGGAGCGGGUUGGAAACCAGAAGUACAGUGAACAUUUACUGGGGAGCCACCUCACACUGGGCUGUAGGCUGAGUGCUGGACAGGGUCGUCUUCCCUGCUUAAAGCUCCAGGGCACCAAGUGCUACAGCUGCCCCCACGGCACGGAUUGGGAAACCGAGGCCAGAGAGGCGGCCAGCUGGGAGACCCUGGAGCCUGGCCUCCCACCCUCCUCCAGGCCUCCCGGGCCUGUGCAGGUGAGGACAGGAAGCUGCCCAGCGCAGUGGGUUUGGCUCCUGCGGAAGCCGUGAGCUGGCCCACGUCCAGGUACCAGUGGGAGCAGCGCUGAGGAUCACGGGACGCCUGGUGCUGAGAGCCAGUUGCUAGAAUGUGGAGGUGGGAGUAGCUGCUGCCUCUGGUUCCUGGUGGCCCCCAGCUCCUCCCUCCAGGCCACUCUCGCCUCCCUGGGCCUCCAGGGCCCCCCUGGACCUGCCCCGUCUCGUGGCUGGCCACAGCUCCGGUGGAUCAGCGCAUGGCCC